ensembl:lncRNA
GCGUGGACCCGCCCCCCGCAACCACAGCGUAGUAUCCAGGGAGAGGUGGGCAGAGCUGGGGCCGGUACCCGGGGACGUGGUGUCUGCCGGAAGUGUCUGUCUGUGCUUUUAGAGGUGGGGACGGCGGGAAGGUAAAAGAGUCUUCCCCGUGCCACUGGACAGUGUGGCCCACUGGGAGGGACUCCUGCCCAAGCACCCCUGUACCCAGGACGGCCUGUGGUCGCAGCCGUCAGCUGUGCCUGCCUGCCUGCCUCUCCCCUGGGGAGGUCCAGGUGAGCCCCGCAGAGAAAGCUCCUGGCUUCUCUGGAAGUGAGUGCGACCAGGAACCAGCCAUCCCGGUGCUUCUCACGCUGGAGGGUGCGUGGGAACACCUAGAGGGCUUGUUCAAACCUGGGUCCCCGGGCCCCACCCCAGAGUCUCUGAUCUUGCAGAUCUGGGGUGGGGCCUGAGAACUGAUGGCUCCAACAAGCUCCCGGGUGGUGCGGGUGCUGCUGGUCUAGAACCGACCCUCCCGUGAGAAGCACCGCUCUGGAGGCCCGAGAUUCCUAGGUGUGUGCCCCCUCCACUACCCGGGGCUGCCUCCUUUGCAGGGUCCCGACAGGUCCGGGAAACGCCAGCGGAGUGCCAGCCCUCGGGAGAUCCGGGGCUUCCCAUGGAGCAGCAGUCACCCGUCCCUGCCUGGAUGCCGCCGCUGGAGGGCGCCGCCGUCCACAGCCCGGGGGAAAAGGCGUCAGGCUUGCACGGAUAACAAUCCGGACAGAGGAGGUUGCGGCCCUGGUGGCGGUCCCAGGGAGUUGUGCAGCCCCGGGCACACGGGCAGGAAGCUCUUUCUCAUCACGGCAGCCAGCCCAUUCAGCGCCAGUGCCGUGUGAGUCCCCACCCAGGCCCUGGCCGCAGGAUGCUCCCCGACCUCCAGCGUCCCCAGCCAGUGGCUCAGUCCUGCCCCCACUCCCUCUCCUCCCCAGGGGCAGGGGUGGGGGCAGGGCAGCUGCCCUGCCUGAGGUGGGAGUGACCUCCCUCUGCACACAGGCACGGUCCCUCCCCUCCCCUCCCACCUUCCCCCAUGCUGCCAGUGAAGUGGGUGGGGGCAGGGAGUGGAGUGGAGUGGUGUGGGCCACAUUGUGGAGGUGCAGGCUGACAAGGCGCACCCCUUUUCCUCAAUGACGGUGUCAGGUAGCCCCGUGCUGGGCUCUGGUGGCUCAGGUGGUGGCAGGCGCCAGCCUGGAGGGGGCAGCCGAGUGUCCAGUUGUUCCCGGGAAGGAGCUCCUGCUGUGGCCAAAGGAGGCCCUUUGUGUCUCGCGUCCCUGGAUACGUGCCCGCCCCAUCCUUCCUGACUGGGCCUCAGAGAUGACGUCCCGUAUGGACAGCUAAUUUUCGACAAGGCAGCCAAGAGCAUACAAUGGAGAAAGGAAAGUCUCUUCAGUACACGGUGCUGGGAAAACUGGACAGCCACGUGCAAAAGAAUGAGACUAGACCGCUAUCUUACACCAUCCACGAAAAUUAACUCAAAGUGGGUUAAAGACUUGCACGUAAGACCCAAAACCGUAAACCUCCUAGAAGAGUCUCGCUAGCACCUUCCUUCCUCGCUGCCACCUGAGCUGGCGGGGCCCGAGCGCAGGGCGAGC